rnacentral:rRNA from 1 species
UAGCCGUAAACGAUACUCGCUAGGUGUCGGCCACGGUGCGACCGUUGUCGGUGCCGUAGGGAAGCCGUGAAGCGAGCCACCUGGGAAGUACGGCCGCAAGGCUGAAACUUAAAGGAAUUGGCGGGGGAGCACAACAACGGGUGGAGCUUGCGGUUUAAUUGGAUUCAACGCCGGAAAUCUCACCAGGGGCGACAGCAGAAUGACGGCCAGGUUGAUGACCUUGCUUGACAAGCUGAGAGGAGGUGCAUGGCGUAGUCGUGU